CGGGGUGGCCUUUGCCUGAGAUACCGACUCGGUAAACCCGUUGAACCUGAUCCGGAUCAUACCGGCGGAGGGACCAGGUG
rnacentral:ncRNA from 1 species